rfam:Bacteroidia bacterium 44-10 SCNpilot_bf_inoc_scaffold_325, whole genome shotgun sequence.
UCCAUUGCGAGGUGGAAUCUGAAGGAAGUCGGCGGCAAACUCCCGAAUAAUCAACGGUUCUGUA